rnacentral:rRNA from 1 species
GGAUCGGAGUCUGCAACUCGACUCCGUGAAGUCGGAAUCGCUAGUAAUCGUAGAUCAGAAUGCUACGGUGAAUACGUUCCCGGGCCUUGUACACACCGCCCGUCACACCAUGGGAGUGGGUUGCAAAAGAAGCAGGUAGCUUAACCUUCGGGAGAGCGCCUACCACUUUGUGAUUUAUGACUGGGGUGAAGUCGUAACAAGGUAACCGUAGGGGAACCUGCGGUUGGAUCACCUCCUUACCUGAAGAUA